UCCAGACUCCUACGGGAGGCAGCAGUGGGGAAUAUUGCACAAUGGGGGAAACCCUGAUGCAGCGACGCCGCGUGAGUGAAGAAGUAUUUCGGUAUGUAAAGCUCUAUCAGCAGGGAAGAAGUUGACGGUACCUGAGUAAGAAGCCCCGGCUAACUGCGUGCCAGCAGCCGCGGUAAUACGUAGGGGGCAAGCGUUAUCCGGAUUUACUGGGUGUAAAGGGAGCGUAGACGGUUAUGCAAGUCUGGAGUGAAAGGCGGGGGCUCAACCCCCGGACUGCUCUGGAAACUGUAGAACUAGAGUGCAGGAGGGGUAAGUGGAAUUCCUAGUGUAGCGGUGAAAUGCGUAGAUAUUAGGAGGAACACCAGUGGCGAAGGCGGUCUGCUGGACAGCAACUGACGCUGAGGCGCGAAAGCGUGGGGAGCAAACAGGAUUAGAUACCCGUGUA
rnacentral:rRNA from 1 species